rnacentral:rRNA from 1 species
GAUGAACGCUAGCGGCAGGCUUAACACAUGCAAGUCGAGGGGUAUAGGAAGCUUGCUUCCUAGAGACCGGCGCACGGGUGCGUAACGCGUAUGCAACCUACCUUUUACAGAGGGAUAGCCCAGAGAAAUUUGGAUUAAUACCUCAUAGUAUAUGUUUUUCGCAUGUUAGACAUAUUAAAGUAACAACGGUAAAAGAUGGGCAUGCGUCCUAUUAGCUAGAUGGUAAGGUAACGGCUUACCAUGGCAACGAUAGGUAGGGGUCCUGAGAGGGAGAUCCCCCACACUGGUACUGAGAAACGGACCAGACUCCUACGGGAGGCAGCAGUGAGGAAUAUUGGACAAUGGGCGCAAGCUUGAUCCAGCCAUGCCGCGUGCAGGAAGACGGUCCUAUGGAUUGUAAACUGCUUUUGUACGGGAAGAAACACUCCCUCGUGAGGGAGCUUGACGGUACCGUAAGAAUAAGGAUCGGCUAACUCCGUGCCAGCAGCCGCCGUAACAC